rnacentral:rRNA from 1 species
GCCCUUCCUACGGGAGGCAGCAGUGGGGAAUAUUGCGCAAUGGGCGAAAGCCUGACGCGGCGACGCCGCGUGGGGGAUGACGGCCUUCGGGUUGUAAACCUCUUUCAGCAGGGACGAAGCGGAAGUGACGGUACCUGCAGAAGAAGCACCGGCCAACUACGUGCCAGCAGCCGCGGUAAUACGUAGGGUGCAAGCGUUGUCCGGAAUUAUUGGGCGUAAAGAGCUCGUAGGCGGUUUGUUGCGUCGGCUGUGAAAACCUGAGGCUCAACCUCAGGCCUGCAGUCGAUACGAGCAGACUAGAGUGUUGCAGGGGAGACUGGAAUUCCUGGUGUAGCGGUGAAAUGCGCAGAUAUCAGGAGGAACACCGGUGGCGAAGGCGGGUCUCUGGGCAACAACUGACGCUGAGGAGCGAAAGCGCGGGGAGCGAACAGGAUUAGAUACCCUGGUAGUCCACGCCGUAAACGUUGGGCGCUAGGUGUGGGGCUCAUUCCACGAGUUCCGUGCCGCAGCUAACGCAUUAAGCGCCCCGCCUGGGGAGUACGGCCGCAAGGCUAAAACUCAAAGGAAUUGACGGAAGGGC